rnacentral:rRNA from 1 species
AGAGUUUGAUCCUGGCUCAGAUUGAACGCUGGCGGCAUGCUUUACACAUGCAAGUCGAACGGUAACAGGGAGCUUGCUCCGCUGACGAGUGGCGAACGGGUGAGUAAUGCAUCGGAACGUGCCUAUUUGUGGGGGAUAACGUAGCGAAAGUUACGCUAAUACCGCAUACGCCCUGAGGGGGAAAGCGGGGGAUUCGUAAGAACCUCGCGCAAUUAGAGCGGCCGAUGUCGGAUUAGCUAGUUGGUGGGGUAAAGGCUCACCAAGGCGACGAUCCGUAGCGGGUCUGAGAGGAUGAUCCGCCACACUGGGACUGAGACACGGCCCAGACUCCUACGGAAGGCAGCAGUGGGGAAUUUUGGACAAUGGGCGAAAGCCUGAUCCAGCCAUGCCGCGUGAGUGAAGAAGGCCUUCGGGUUGUAAAGCUCUUUCAGCCGGAAAGAAAUCGCGCAGGCUAAUACUCUGCGUGGAUGACGGUACCGGAAGAAGAAGCACCGGCUAACUACGUGCCAGCAGCCGCGGUAAUACGUAGGGUGCGAGCGUUAAUCGGAAUUACUGGGCGUAAAGCGUGCGCAGGCGGUUAUAUAAGACAGAUGUGAAAUCCCCGGCUCAACCUGGAACUGCGUUUGUGACUGUAUGACUAGAGUACGGCAGAGGGAGGUGGAAUUCCGCGUGUAGCAGUGAAAUGCGUAGAUAUGCGGAGGAACACCGAUGGCGAAGGCAGCCUCCUGNGCCAGUACUGACGCUCAUGCACGAAAGCGUGGGGAGCAAACAGGAUUAGAUACCCUGGUAGUCCACGCCGUAACUAUGGAUGCUAGCUGUGACACAUAUCGACCUGUGCCGUAGCGAAGUUAACGCGUUAAGCAUCCCGCCUGGGGAGUACGGUCGCAAGAUUAAACUCAAGGAAUUGACGGGGACCCGCACAAGCGGUGGAGCGUGUUGUUUAAUUCGAUGGUAAGCGAAGAACCUUACCAGGUUUGACAUCCCGAGAAGGCUUCCGAAAGGAAACUGUGCUUUAUUGAACUCGGUGACAGGUGCUGCAUGGCCGUCGUCAGCUCGUGUCGUGAGAUGUAUGGUUAAGUCCAUUAACGAGCGCAACCCUUAUGUUUAGUUGGAUUUUUCUAAACAGACUGCCCUGGUAACAGGGAGGAAGGAGGGGAUGAUGUCAGGUCAGUAUUGCCCUUACACCUGGGGCUACAAACACGCUACAAUGGCCGGUACAAAGGGCUGCUAAGUCGCGAGACGGAGCUAAUCCCAUCAAAGCCGGUCUCAGUUCGGAUUGCAGGCUGAAACUCGCCUGCAUGAAGCUGGAAUCGCUAGUAACGGUAGGUCAGCACACUACCGUGAAUACGUUCCCGGGUCUUGUACACACCGCCCGUCAAACCAUGAAAGUCGCCAACACCCAAAGUCUGAGCUUUGACUCGGCCUAAGGUGGGGGAGAUGAUUGGGGUUAAGUCGUAACAAGGUAGCC